CUACAUGUGAAGUGCGGCUGAAGAAACUGCAUUUCAACUUCGAAACGCAACCCUGGUGCAACUCGAAUUGUGAAAGUGAUGUUUAACAAUGCCGUUGCCUGGAAUAAAUUAGUAAAGGAACCAUUGCGCUAUCACCGAACAACAGGAUUGGAUUGGUAAACACAAUUUCCUGCAUUUAGUUGAGCACCAUUCUCGUGAUUUGGUCCGAGCCCCUGUCUGUCAGGCCCGGUGGACCCCUUCCCCUUGGAAGUGUCUUUCAGCCCAGUGUCAGUCAGAAUGGGACAAUAGCCGCAGUCGCCAUCGGACCUCCCCCUUUCUCUCUUUGCUCUCUGUCUGCCCCGUCCCCACACCCCUUAACACUCGCACAUAUAUAUAUAUAUAUAUACACACACACAUACAUACACAUACAUACACACAGACCCAGCCAGACCCUGACCACUCCCACUGUACUGGUUUUGGUCCACUCCCUCUUCCUACCGCUCUAGGCAGCCAGCCUUGUGAAGCCAAAUGAAACCAUAAUCCCCUGUAAAAGAUAGAGGCCUAUACAGCUGCCUAUCCUCCCUUUGUUGUUGGUGGCUUUUUGUUUAGAGGGCCCCCAUGAGAGUAGCGGCUAGAGAACACAAGGCAGC
ensembl:lncRNA